rnacentral:lncRNA from 1 species
AUUAAUGAACGGCAAUGGCAUUUGUUGAAAUUAAUGGAAGAUAAAAGGUUAAUUUCACAAAAUGAGAUGUAUAUAAGAACCCAAGCACAACCUAUUAUGGCUAUGGAAGAUAAGGAAUUAAAUGUUGCAUUAAUGAACGGCAAUGGCAUUUGUUGAAAUUAAUGGAAGAUAAAAGGUUAAUUUCACAAAAUGAGAUGUAUAUAAGAACCCAAGCACAACCUAUUGAAACCACACAACAAAACAAACCAAAAAACAGUAACUUUACCUUCCUUGGAGUAACAUAACAGCAACGUAACUCAAAAGAAUGUCUUUGGUAACCGAAGAAAUG